rnacentral:rRNA from 1 species
GAACGAGUUAUCUGAACGAUCGGGGAACGAUAACGGCGUCGAGCGGCGGACGGGUGAGUAAUGCCUAGGAAAUUGCCCUGAUGUGGGGGAUAACCAUUGGAAACGAUGGCUAAUACCGCAUGAUGCCUACGGGCCAAAGAGGGGGACCUUCGAACCUCUCGCGUCAGGAUAUGCCUAGGUGGGAUUAGCUAGUUCCUGAGGUAAGGGCUCACCAAGGCGACGAUCCCUAGCUGGUCUGACUGGAUGAUCAGCCACACUGGAACUGAGACACGGUCCAGACUCCUACGGGAGGCAGCAGUGGGGAAUAUUGCACAAUGGGCGCAAGCCUGAUGCAGCCAUGCCGCUUGUGUGAAGAAGGCCUUCGGGUUGUAAAGCAC